UACGGAGGGUGCAAGCGUUAUCCGGAUUUACUGGGUUUAAAGGGUGCGUAGGUGGGCCUGUAAGUCAGUGGUGAAAUCUUCGAGCUUAACUCGGAAACUGCCAUUGAUACUAUAGGUCUUGAAUCAUCUGGAGGUGAGCGGAAUAUGUCAUGUAGCGGUGAAAUGCUUAGAUAUGACAUAGAACACCGAUUGCGAAGGCAGCUCACUACGGAUGUAUUGACACUGAGGCACGAAAAGCGUGGGGAUCAAACAGG
rnacentral:rRNA from 1 species